rnacentral:rRNA from 1 species
UGGGGAAUUUUGCGCAAUGGGGGAAACCCUGACGCAGCGACGCCGCGUGGAGGAUGACGGCCUUCGGGUUGUAAACUCCUGUCAGAAGGGACGAAAUCCCGCAAGGGACUGACGGUACCUUCAGAGGAAGCCCCGGCUAACUACGUGCCAGCAGCCGCGGUAAUACGUAGGGGGCAAGCGUUGCUCGGAAUUACUGGGCGUAAAGGGUGAGUAGGCGGUCGGGCAAGUCAAGGAUGAAAUCCCGAGGCUCAACUUCGGAAUUGUUCUUGAAACUGCUCGGCUUGAGGGUAGUUGAGGAGAGCGGAAUUCCCGGUGGAGCGGUGAAAUGCGUAGAUAUCGGGAGGAACACCUGAGGCGAAGGCGGCUCUCUAAACUACUCCUGACGCUGAAUCACGAAAGC